rnacentral:rRNA from 1 species
UACGGGGGGGGCAAGCGUUGUUCGGAAUUACUGGGCGUAAAGGGCUCGUAGGCGGCCAACUAAGUCAGACGUGAAAUCCCUCGGCUUAACCGGGGAACUGCAUCUGAUACUGGAUGGCUUGAGUUCGGGAGAGGGAUGCGGAAUUCCAGGUGUAGCGGUGAAAUGCGUAGAUAUCUGGAGGAACACCAAUGGCGAAGGCAGCUCGCUGGGACGUGACUGACGCUGAGACGCGAAAGCGUGGGGAGCAAACAGG